rnacentral:rRNA from 1 species
CUACGGGUCGCUCCAGUGGGGAAUAUUGGGCAAUGGGCGCAAGCCUGACCCAGCAACGCCGCGUGAGGGAAGAAGGUUUUCGGAUUGUAAACCUCUGUCCUUGGGGACGAAGAAGUGACGGUACCCAAGGAGGAAGCUCCGGCUAACUACGUGCCAGCAGCCGCGGUAAUACGUAGGGAGCAAGCGUUGUCCGGAAUUACUGGGCGUAAAGGGUGCGUAGGCGGCAUAUUAAGUCAGGUGUGAAAUACUCGGGCUCAACCCGAGGGGUGCAUUUGAAACUGAUAAGCUUGAGUGUGAGAGAGGAAAGUGGAAUUCCUAGUGUAGCGGUGGAAUGCGUAGAUAUUAGGAGGAACACCAGUGGCGAAGGCGACUUUCUGGCUCAUAACUGACGCUGAGGCACGAAAGCGUGGGGAGCAAACAGGAUUAGAUACCCCUGUAGUC